rnacentral:rRNA from 2 species
GGGUUGUGAGGUUAAGCGACUAAGCGUACACGGUGGAUGCCCUGGCAGUCAGAGGCGAUGAAGGACGUGCUAAUCUGCGAUAAGCGCCGGUAAGGUGAUAUGAACCGUUAUAACCGGCGAUUUCCGAAUGGGGAAACCCAGUGUGACUCGUCACACUAUCAUUAACUGAAUCCAUAGGUUAAUGAGGCGAACCGGGGGAACUGAAACAUCUAAGUACCCCGAGGAAAAGA